rnacentral:rRNA from 1 species
AACGAACGCUGGCGGCAUGCCUAACACAUGCAAGUCGAACGAGACCUUCGGGUCUAGUGGCGCACGGGUGCGUAACGCGUGGGAACCUGCCCUUAGGUUCGGAAUAACUCCCCGAAAGGGGUGCUAAUACCGGAUAAUGUCUUCGGACCAAAGAUUUAUCGCCUUUGGAUGGGCCCGCGUUGGAUUAGCUAGUUGGUAGGGUAAAAGCCUACCAAGGCGACGAUCCAUAGCUGGUCUGAGAGGAUGAUAAGCCACACUGGAACUGAGACACGGGCCAGACUCCGACGGGAGGCAGCAGUGGGGAAUAUUGGACAAUGGGCGAAAGCCUGAUCCAGCAAUGCCGCGUGAGUGAUGAAGGCCUUAGGGUUGUAAAGCUCUUUUACCCGGGAUGAUAAUGACAGUACCGGGAGAAUAAGCUCCGGCUAACUCCGUG